CCAGGUCAGGCGGGAUUACCC
rnacentral:siRNA from 1 species